AGGGUUCGAUUCUGGCUCAGGAUGAACGCUAGCGGCAGGCUAACACAUGCAAGUCGAGGGGCAGCGUGGAGUAGCAAUACUCGUGACGGCGACCGGCGAAAGGGUGAGUAACGCGUGAGCAACAUGCCCGGUACCGGGGGAUAGUCGAUGGAAACGUCGCGUAAUACCCCGUAACAACAGAGGCCGCAUGACCUUUGUUUAAGAGAUUUAUCGCUACCGGAUUGGCUCGCGUCCCAUUAGGCAGUUGGCGGGGUAACGGCCCACCAAACCGACGAUGGGUAGGGGUUCUGAGAGGAAGGUCCCCCACAUUGGAACUGAGACACGGCCCAGACUCCUACGGGAGGCAGCAGUGAGGAAUAUUGGACAAUGGCCGAGAGGCUGAUCCAGCCAUGCCGCGUGCGGGAGGACGGCCCCUAUGGGUUGUAAACCGCUUUUGUUGGAGAGCAAUAAGGUCCACGUGUGGAUCGAUGAGAGUAUCCAGCGAAUAAGCAUCGGCUAACUCCGUGCCAGCCGCAGC
rnacentral:rRNA from 1 species